AAGAAGGCAGAACAAAAGAAAUGGAUGUAACAGAGGGAAAGAUAAUUUGAGUUAUUUUUAAAUGAAAGAAAUGUCAGAAGGUGGCUUUAUGCUGGUCACACCUGAGAUAGGGUGUCUGUCUUCCAGAAUGGCUGCUUCUCUGGGUAUGAGACAUCCCAAGCCAGACACUUGGACUGCUUCAUACAGACAGUGGGCAGAGCACUGGCUCAGAAAGUGUAUUACCAAAGCACACUGGAAGAUUACGGGGACAUGUGUGAACCUUGCAGAUACACUGAGGAAGGAGAAUUAGAGCCCAGUAACUCCCCCUGCUCCAUCUCCAUUAGCAGUGAGGACCUGCCUGAGGAUUUCUUGAACACUCUGGGACCAAUGUUUUGUGCUCUGGAAGAGAUCUGUCAGAAGUGAUCUCCGGCAGCCAAAAACCUGCUGUGUCUCCAGGGUCCACUGUGCAGGGGUGAGGGGGUGAUUUUGGCAUAUUUGUGCACACUGACACAAGUAAAAGAUCUGAUAUCAAGGAUCCUCAUUUUGAUAUGUAAAGUUAAAAAAAACCCAACAAACUAGAUCAACUAGGCUUGAAAUUCCAGACCGAGUUCCAUAUGGAAAUAAGUCAGUUUUGAAGAGAGAAGGAAAUUACCUGCUAGACCAGUGUAUAGUCCUUUCUCCAGUAAGUAGCCUCUUUAAAUCCAAGAUUAAGUUUAGUACAGUGCCAUAUUUUAUAUCCUUAUAUAUGACAAUGAAACAUCGAAGAGAAAGUUCAUUUCUCCUCCGAGUUCAUGCCCUUGGACAGCUCUGCACCAUCCCUCCUUUAGCAUGAAAGAGGCACUUUUGGUGUUCGUGUGUGUGCUGGCAUCUGCUGGCUGUUGGUAUCAUGGCACUGCUGUAAAUAAUACCCUAAAUGCUAAGAAAUUGUUGUCAGACAAGGUUAUUCCUUUCAAUGAAAUAACUUCCUGCUCUAAAUUAGCCAGAAGUGCCUCUGAGGGGGAAACUCGUGGGUUUCCUCAAGCACUGCUGAUAAAACAGAUGAAAUGAUAAAAAAGGGAUGGUAUCAAAUUUCCCUAUCAGGAAACCACAGAUGUGUUAUUUUUAAAUUUUGAGGUUAGGACAUGUCUGACAUUGAACUCUGCUCAGUUAUGGCACGAAGGCUGUUGGUCUUACAAUGCAGAAAUGAGGGAAGAACAGCUCAGGAGAUUGUGUUCUGCCAUUAGGUAAGUUAUACAUGCAGGAAGUGGUGGAAUUAGUUACAAAUCUUACUCCUGUUCUAUUACAGUUUUGUGCUGAAAGAAAAAUGCUUUGCCCAAGGCAAGUACUAAGUCUGGGAGUUAAGACAUUGUUUUUGUGUUUCAAAGUUUACUUAAACAAUAAAUUAUGCUUUUGCUCAGAUAUUAUUAAUAUU
rnacentral:lncRNA from 1 species